rnacentral:rRNA from 1 species
CGUAGGGUGCGAGCGUUAAUCGGAAUUACUGGGCGUAAAGCGUGCGUAGGCGGUUCGUUAAGUCAGCUGUGAAAGCCCCGGGCUCAACCUGGGAACUGCGGUUGAAACUGGCGAACUAGAAUCUGGCAGAGGGGGUGGAAUUCCACGUGUAGCAGUGAAAUGCGUAGAGAUGUGGAGGAACACCGAUGGCGAAGGCAGCCCCCUGGGCUGAGAUUGACGCUCAGGCACGAAAGCGUGGGGAGCAAACAGGAUUAGAUACCCUGGUAGUCCACGCCCUAAACGAUGUCAACUAGGUGUUGGAGGAGCAAUCCUUUGGUACCGCAGCUAACGCGUGAAGUUGACCGCCUGGGGAGUACGGUCGCAAGACUA